CGCACAUUGUCGGAGUAGCCUGGUACCCGAGGCCUUCCGAUGUUCAAAGAACGAAGGCCAGGCAUCGGAUGUCGAAUGGAUUCUUCCACUGAUCAAAAUCCAAUAUGGCGGACUCAAUGAUGAAUUUCCAUACAUAUGGAAAGAAGAAACACAUGAUAGUGGAUGAAAAACACCCUCAUAUAUAAUGCUUCAUGAAUAUGCAAAACCAUGCCAACAGUCUACAGACUCCAGAUGGAAAGAUACAAAGAAAGAAAUUCUAAAGGGGUAUUCAAGGACUCAUCCUCCUCCAAACCAAUUCAUAUUGGAAGGAAUUAACAUCCAACUUGAAUGAAGAAUUACACACAGGCACUUAAUUAGGCCCCAAGCGAUAUAAGUGCUUCUGGAAUUACAAACUUCCAUAACAGGUGCAUCAUGCAGACCCUUUUAAAAAGGAGAAGCCAGGGCACCUAUUCACAAAAUAUCUUACGACUAAGAUCAAAAUUUACAAACACUGUAAUUUCCUUAUUUUCCAUUUCUUGUAGACUUUCUUAAUUAAUAUGUAAAGUACAUCCAUGGUUUAUAAAAGUUGAAUACAUACUUAUGACCUUGUGAUCGGUAUUUGAUUAUCAAACAGAAUUCUUUUUUCCAUCUUAGUCGUAAGAUAUUUUGUGAAUAAGGGCCCAGAUCUUCAGAAGACUUCCUUAAAAAUGAGAAUUUUCUGAGUGGAAGUGAAGAAUGAAAGGUGAAGAUAACGAACAGUGAUCAAUCUCAUAACUCUUAUAAGAAGAAUGUGGCAUGCAUACAAGCAGACAACAGCAUUCCCUCCCUCUUGUUUGUAUCAGAGGUGAGCUUUUUGAGAAAGACUCAUGGAGGGAGUUCGAGAGUGUCAGUUCUCAGAUCAAGAAGUUAGCCAACAGUAGGAGGAGUAGCAAUUCAUUCCACAGUAUGACAUGAGAAAUACAUGACAGGAAAAACCUGAAAAAGGAGAUUUGGCAUUGUUUCAUGUGGAAAUGGAAGAAUCUUUGAAAUAUAUAACACAUACAUGUUUCAGUUAUUUGGGGAUAACACUUAUGAGGAAUUUUGCCAUAUAUCAGAUGGGAAUGUGUUGCACAAGAAAUGCUUGAUCACAACCCUCUUUUAUUAGAAACCUUUUCUAUGCAAAUAAUUAUUGUAAAUGAAAUUUAACUAUUUCAUUAGACCAGUAAACAUGUUUUCUGUGCAAGUGUGUGUCUUUGACAUUAAAUGCUAUGAUAUUGAAGUAUUCUUAAACAAUAGAAGAUAUCUACUAGUUCUUUCAAAGGAAGCCAACAACAGGAAUCGAACCUGUUCCUCCAUCGUACAGAUACGAAAGUGUGCACCAGUACACCAUGUUGGCAUAUAUUAAGAACUGGUAGUCUUGGAGAGUAAAUAUUGUAUUAUUCUUGUACAGUUGAUACUGGUUGGUGUGAUAUAUAUAUGUAUAUAUAUAUAAUAUACAUACAAGUAUAUAUAAUGUAUGCUUCAUGUUUGCUAGUCGUUAAUAAAGCAUUUGAAUUGAA